rnacentral:lncRNA from 1 species
UCACAAUUUAACUAUUAAUGAACACCACAUUUUAAAUCAAACCAUAACAUAUAUUUACAUGAUGAUUCCAUAUUUCAUAGGUCGUCUAUACAUGCCAUAAUUUUCCGGAACGAUAGUAGCAAAAUACCCCAAGUGUGAAGGAUAGUGUGGAUGAUUGUCUGGCUUCGUUCCAAAUUUCCGAGUUGUCGGAAGUCACUAUAAUCAAGGGAAAAAUAAAAUCGAGUAAGCAUAUAGCUUAGUAAGUAAACACAUGAUAAAUAAGUAAUUACUCACAUAACUACACCAAAAUAUAAACUUAUUCAUGAAUAACUUCAUUGUUUAGGCAAUUUCCAGCAAACUGUUUUUCUGCGUCAUAGUCGAUAAUUUAUUUUUAUCCGGAGCUACAGGGCUCAAAAUUGAGUUUCGUAAAUUUUCCCUGAAACUAGACUCAUAUACCAUUUCACCAUAAAAAUUUCAGAAUUUUUUACCCAGCCAAUUAGUACAGUUUAUUCAUUAAAACUUCCCCUGUUUCACUGCCCAACGGUUCUGACCCUUCCUCAAAAAAAUUCACUUAACUCUCUGUAAAAAAUUUUAAAAAUGGUUUCUCUUGUUUCUAUUAAAAAUAGAGUCAAUAAGGAAUCCAGGAAUAUAAAUUUCACACCAUAAUUAUUUUUGUACAAUUUUUGGUGAUUUUCCAAAGUUAGAACAGGGGAUCCCGAAAUCAAUCCAGCCCUGUUUCAGUAAAAUUCAGAUAUCUCCAAAAAUACAACUCUUUUGCUUAUUAUAUUUAUUUCAUAUGAAAAUAGACACAUUCAGCUUCAAUUUCAUAUAUUAUUCAGCUUCCCAUUCAUUUUCCACCAUUUAUGGUGAUUUUUCAAAGUUACCCAUCUGCUGUUGUUCAACACAGUUUAUAACUAAAUCGUUCCUUUUUUCGUUUUUGAUAUUUUCUCCCAUCUCAUACAUGGAUCGAUUUAGUAUCCAACUCAAUAUUUGCCCCAUAAAAAUUUCCACCAUAUGGCAAUAUUCACCUUCCACACUUUUUCGUUGAGCACUCGGAAUGUUGACCGUUAUUGGUGGAUCUCGCACUUAGCACCACCACUUAAUCGGGGAAUCAGCACUUAGCAACCCCUUGGGGGAAUCAGCACAUAGCAACCCCCUUUUUAUUUCAGAGAUACGGUGGAUAUCGCACUUAGCACCACCAAUGAACCGGGGAAUCAGCACUUAGCAACCCCUCGGGGGAAUCAGCACAUAGCAACCCCCUUUCACAUUUCAAAGAUACGGUGGAUAUCGCACAUAGCACCACCAAUGAAUCGGGGAAUCAGCACACAACAACCCCUUUAUGUACAACAUACUUCGGCUUAUUCCGAGUGUUCAACCCAUAAAUCAUAUAUUGCAACCCUUUACCACCUUUCCCGAUUUAACAACAUUUUUAGGAUAUGGCCAAACAUUUAUUUUAAUUCCAAAUAAAUCUCAACAUAUAUCAAUUAAUGUCAAAAUAAUACAUCAAGUCACGUGUUUACUUACCUCGGUGCAAAAUAUCGUAAUUUUGCACUUCACUCCACUAUCUUUUCUUUUCCUCGUUUGAGAUAAUCUUCACGUCUUUCUUGAUUAUGAGCUUGAGAAAGCAAAGAAACCUUAGCUAUGGCUUCCUUCAAAUUUCGGCAGCAACUAAUGAGGAAGAUGAUGAUUUUUGUCAUCUUUUUCCCAUUUUAUUUUUUUUAUUACCAAAUGACUAAUAUGCCCCCACUUAAAAAAAAAUCUAUUUCUCUCAUUUCUUAUGUCUAUUUUUGUCCAUCAACUAACUAAUGGUCUAAUUACCACAUAAAGACCUCCAAUUUAAAAUUUCAUAUCAAUUAGAUACUUCUACAUAUAGAACUCAACUUUUGCACUAUUUACAAUUUAGUCCUUUUGACUAAAUUGAGUGCCCAAACGUCGAAAUUUUCGAACGAAAUUUUUACGAAAAUUUUCCGUGAAAUUGUAGACCAUAAAAAUAUAAUAAUAACCAUAUUUUCCCUCGUCGGAUUUGUGGUCCCGAAACCACUAUUCCGACUAGGCCCAAAAUCGGGCUGUUACAACUCUCCCCCCUUAAGGAUUUUCGUCCCCGAAAAUCUUACCGGAAAAGAGAUUUGGGUACUGUUUCCUCAUAAUUUCCUCCGGUUCCCACGUAGCUUCCUCCAUCCCAUGUUUUUGCCACAGUACUUUUACUAAGGAUACACUUUUAUUCCUUAACUGCUUGACUUCCCGAGCCAAAAUCUUUAUUGGUUCUUCCUCAUAAGUCAUAUCUGGUCUGACCUCAAUCUCUGUAGGGGAAACUAUAUGUGAAGGAUCCGAACGGUAACGUCGCAACAUCGACACAUGAAACACAUUAUGUAUCUUUUCCAACUCCGGUGGUAAAGCUAACCGAUAUGCUACAGGGCCAACUCUCUCGAUAACUUCAUAUGGUCCAAUAAAUCGUGGACUUAGUUUGCCUUUAUGACCAAAUCUCAGAAUCUUCUUCCAUGGAGACACCUUCAAGAACACCUUAUCACCUACUUGAAACUCAAUUUCUUUUCUCUUUAAAUCCGCAUACGACUUUUGCCGAUCUGAGGCAGCCUUUAAACAGUCACGAAUUAUUUUCACCUUUUCUUCAGUUUCUUUCACCAAGUCGACUCCAUGAAUCCGGUUCUCACCGAGCUCAGUCCAAUAUAAAGGAGUUCUACACUUACGCCCAUAUAAUGCUUCAUACGGUGCCAUUCGUAUACUUGACUGAUAGCUAUUGUUAUAAGCAAAUUCAACCAAUGGUAGAUAUUUCUCCCAACUGCCUUUCAAUUCUAAAAUACAACACCGGAGCAUAUCUUCAAGAAUUUGAAUCACUCUUUCCGAUUGCCCGUCAGUUUGCGGAUGAAACGCAGUACUGAAAUUCAAUUUUGUACCCAAGGCUUCCUGCAACUUUAUCCAAAACCUCGAAGUAAAUCUCGGAUCUCUAUCCGAUAUAAUAGAUUUAGGCACCCCAUGUAAUCUCACUAUUUCAGCAACAUAUAAUUCUGCCAACCUGUCAAGUGAGUAAUCAAUGCGUAUCGGAAUAAAAUGAGCCGACUUUGUCAAUCUAUCAACAAUUACGCAAAUAGCAUCUUUCUUCUUUGGAGUUAAAGGCAAUCCUGUCACAAAAUCCAUCGUAAUACUAUCCCACUUCCACUCUGGAAUCGUUAUCGGUUGAAGUAAACCCGAUGGUACUUGAUGCUCAGCCUUCACUUGUUGACAGAUUAAACACUUUGAUACAAAUUCCGAGAUAUCCUUUUUCAUGCCUGGCCACCAAUACAACUUCUUCAAAUCAUUAUACAUUUUCACACUACCCGGAUGAACUGACAAGUCACCACUAUGUGCCUCACAUAAAAUGGUCUGAAUUAACUCAUCAUUUCUUGGUACACAUACUCUAUCCCGGAACAUCAAGCAAUCAUCUGAACCAAUUUGAAAAUCUGAGUCAACACCUGCUUCACACUGAGCUCUCUUGGCUUGCAAUUUACUGUCAUUCUUUUGAGAUUCCCGAAUUUGCUGAAGAAAUAAUGGUCUAGCUCUCAAUUCAACCAACAUUGAGCCAUCAUCAGAUAAAGUUAACAUCGUACCCAUAGCUCUCAAAGCAAAUAAAGAUUUUCUGCUCAAGGCAUCAGCAACCACAUUAGCUUUCCCGGGGUGAUAAUCAAUCACUAGCUCAUAGUCUUUGAUUAGCUCGAGCCAUCUUCGUUGCCGCAAAUUCAAAUCUUUUUGGCUCAUCAAAUACUUCAAACUCUUAUGAUCAGUGAAGAUUCGGCACUUUUCACCAUACAAAUAAUGACGCCAAAUUUUUAAAGCAAAAACAAUGGCAGCCAAUUCUAAAUCAUGCGUCGGAUAAUUCUUCUCAUGCGGUUUCAAUUGUCUCGAAGCAUAAGCUAUUACUUUGCCCUCUUGCAUUAACACACACCCAAGACCAUUCAACGAUGCAUCACUGUAAAUUACAAACUCCUUCCCGGACUCAGGUUGGACCAACACUGGCGCCUCAGUCAAUAAUGCCUUCAACUUUUCAAAACUCUGUUGACAUUUAUUGGUCCAUUCAAACUUGACAUUCUUCUGCAGUAACUUAGUCAUAGGAGAAGCAAUCAUCGAAAAUCCCUUGACAAAGCGUCUGUAAUACCCAGCUAAGCCCAGAAAGCUUCUAACUUCUGUCACAUUCUUUGGUGGCUCCCAAUCAACAAUUGCUGAAAUUUUGCUUGGAUCAACCCGAAUACCUUCACUUGAAACUAUAUGUCCCAAGAAUCCAACCUCACGAAGCCAAAACUCACUUUUGCUGAAUUUAGCAUACAAUUUCUUUUCUCUCAGAAUCUGCAACACAGUUCUUAAAUGUUCUGCAUGCUCAGAUUCAUCCCGAGAAUAGAUUAAAAUAUCAUCUAUGAACACCACCACGAACUUAUCCAAGUACGGCCGAAAAAUUCGGUUCAUCAAGUCCAUAAAAAUAGCUGGAGCAUUUGUUAACCCAAAAGGCAUUACCAGAAAUUCAUAGUGUCCAUACCUUGUUCUAAAGGCGGUUUUCGGCACAUCAGACUCUUUAACUCUUAACUGAUAGUAACCAGACCUCAAAUCAAUCUUAGAAAACACUGUUGCCCCUUUUAAUUGAUCAAAUAAAUCAUCAAUUCUCGGCAAAGGAUACUUGUUCUUUAUAGUCACCUUGUUGAGCUGACGAUAGUCAAUACAAAGUCUCAUAGAGCCGUCCUUUUUUUUCACAAAUAACACAGGAGCACCCCAAGGAGAAAAACUCGGUCUCACAAAUCCUUUAUCUGUCAACUCUUGUAACUGAGCUUUUAAUUCCUUCAACUCAGUCGGAGCCAUUCGAUACGGUGCAAUAGAAAUUGGUGCAGUACCAGGUAACAGAUCAAUAGAAAACUCAACUUCUCUAAUCGGAGGUAACCCAGGCAAUUCCUCUGGAAAUACAUCUGGAAAUUCACAAACUACCGGCACUGAUUCAAGCUUUGACCCAGUAAUAUCCGUGUUCAGCACAUAAGCAAGAUAAACUUCACAUCCCUUUCUCAAGUAUUUCUGAGCAGACAUGUGCGAAAUCACCAUAGGCAACUUAUUCGGCUCCUUUGUUUCAACCCGGAGAAUUUCACCAUUUUCACAAUUUAAUUCAAGAAUUUUCUGUCUACAAUUUACCUUGGCAUCAUGCAAUAUCAACCAAUCCAUCCCCAAAAUAACAUCAAACUCAUCAAAUGGUAACAACAUCAAAUUAGCCGGGAAACAGUGACCUUGAAUCAUCAGGGGACAAUUCUUGCAAACCUUAUCGACUAAGACAUAUUUGCCUAAAGGAUUUGAUACUUUAACUACAAAUUCAGUGUUUUCAACAGGCAAUUUCUUACUAGACACCAAAUUCAUGCAUAUAUAUGAAUGAGUAGAGCCGGGAUCAAUCAAAGCAAUAACAUCAAUAUCAUGAAGAGAAAAUGUACCAGUAAUCACAUCGGGAGAUGAGGCAUCCUCUCGAGCGCGUAUAGCAUAAGUCCUGGCAGGCGCUCUAGUUUCUGAUCCUCCAGCUGCAUCUUUUAUCACACUCUUACCACUGGCUUUGCUUCCCACAUUUCUCGGUGGUCUGCCUCUACUGACAACAUCACCCGAUCCAGCUCUUUGUAAUCUUUCUUCUUCUAUUCUCUCAGGGCAGUCUUUUACAUAAUGCUCUUGGGAACCACAUCUGAAACAAGCUCGUUUAAAUCCCCAACACUCACCAGUAUGUCGCCUGCCACACUGUUGACAUUCAGGUCUGGUGUUUCCUACAUUACCCACACUUGCCACUGAGGUAGCUCGAGUUGUAGUUCCGGAAUAUGACCUCCCUCGGUCUCUGCGUGAAUACCCAACUGAACCGGUUGGUCGUGGAUCCAUCCCUUUAAACUUCUUCGGGUGAGAUUGAAAUGUUCUGCCCAUUGACCUCUUCCUUACAUCUCGAGCUUCCAUCUCUGCCCUUCUCUUUUCUCUACUCAGCUCUUCAGCUUUGCAAGCACGAUCAACUAAUACCACAAAUUCUUUUAACUCUAAAAUUCCAACAUGUAAUCUGAUGUCUUCAUUUAGCCCCUCUUCAAAUCUUUUACACAUAAUAGCCUCCGUAGGCACACAUUCCUGGGCAUAUUUACUAAGCCGGACAAACUCCCGUUCAUAUUCUGCUACUGACAUUCGGCCCUGUUUCAAUCCGAGAAACUCUUUGCGCUUCUGAUCAAUAAACCGUUGGCUUACAUAUUUCUUUCUGAAUUCUUCCUGAAAGAAGUCCCAAGUAACUCUUUCUUUUGGAACCACCGUUGUUAAUGUUUUCCACCAACGGUAUGCCGAAUCCUUCAAUAAAGACACAGCACAUUUCAAACAUUCCUCAGGAGUACAAGAUAAUUCAUCAAAUACCUGGAUAGUAUUUUCAAGCCAAAACUCAGCUUUUUCCGGAUCAUCAUCAACAUUGGCCCUGAAAUCUUCAGCCCCAUGCUUUCGAAUUCUAUCAACGGGUGGUUUACUUGAUCUCACCAAUUCAGCACUUCGUGGAGCUACGGGGACCGGCGGAGGAAUAGGAGGGGGUGGAGGAGGUGGAACAUUCGGAUUUACACGGACAUAUUCUGUAUACCAAUCACUCAUCAUUCGGAGGAAGGCUUCUUGAGCCUCAUCCUGUCCAUGUGUCUCAUGUCUACUCUCUUCAUGCGCGGUCCCUUGUGCGGGAACCGGCGUGUUACUUUCAACAUCAUCUGCCAUACUUCGAUUAGGAUCCAUUUACUAUAUAAAACAAAAUUUUAAAUUGUCAGAAAUCAUCACACUAUCACAAUAUAUUGAUGGCAUGUAUAGACUGACUUUCACACAUAUUUUAUUGGUCCGAGAACCGACUAAACCGUAGCUCUGAUACCACUAAAAUGUAACACCCCUUACUCGUAUUCCGGCUCAGAACAGAGUAUGAGGUAUUACUAAGUUUUUUAAAAAAAAUUUCGACAGCAUUUCUGCUUAAUUUUGCUUAAACCUCCUGCAAAUUUAAAUCACAAUCCAAUAUAUAUAUCAACCAAACUCAUUUAUAAUAAUACUCACAAUUUAACUAUUAAUGAACACCACAUUUUAAAUCAAACCAUAACAUAUAUUUACAUGAUGAUUCCAUAUUUCAUAGGUCGUCUAUACAUGCCAUAAUUUUCCGGAACGAUAGUAGCAAAAUACCCCAAGUGUGAAGGAUAGUGUGGAUGAUUGUCUGACUUCGUUCCAAAUUUCCGAGUUGUCGGAAGUCACUAUAAUCAAGGGAAAAAUAAAAUCGAGUAAGCAUAUAGCUUAGUAAGUAAACACAUGAUAAAUAAGUAAUUACUCACAUAACUACACCAAAAUAUAAACUUAUUCAUGAAUAACUUCAUUGUUUAGGCAAUUUCCAGCAAACUGUUUUUCUGCGUCAUAGUCGAUAAUUUAUUUUUAUCCGGAGCUACAGGGCUCCAACUUGAGUUUCGUAAAUUUUCCUUGAAACUAGACUCAUAUACCAUUUCACCAUAAAAAUUUCAGAAUUUUUUACCCAGCCAAUUAGUACAUUUUAUUCAUUAAAACUUCCCCUGUUUCACUGCCCAACGGUUCUGACCCUUCCUCAAAAAAAUUCACUUAACUCUCUGUAAAAAAUUUUAAAAAUGGUUUCUAUUGUUUCUAUUAAAAAUAGAGUCAAUAAGGAAUCCAGGAAUAUAAAUUUCACACCAUAAUUAUUUUUGUACAAUUUUUGGUGAUUUUCCAAAGUUAGAACAGGGGAUCCCGAAAUCAAUCCAGCCCUGUUUCAGUAAAAUUCAGAUAUCUCCACAAAUACAACUCUUUUGCUUAUUCUAUUUAUUUCAUAUGAAAAUAGACACAUUCAGCUUCAAUUUCAUAUAUUAUUCAGCUUCCCAUUCAUUUUCCACCAUUUAUGGUGAUUUUUCAAAGUUACCCAUCUGCUGUUGUUCAACACAGUUUAUAACUAAAUCGUUCCUUUUUUCGUUUUUGAUAUUUUCUCCCAUCUCAUACAUGGAUCGAUUUAGUAUCCAACUCAAUAUUUUCCCCAUAAAAAUUUCCACCAUAUGGCAAUAUUCACCUUCCACACUUUUUCGUUGAGCACUCGGAAUGUUGACCGUUAUUGGUGGAUCUCGCACUUAGCACCACCACUUAAUCGGGGAAUCAGCACUUAGCAACCCCUUGGGGGAAUCAGCACAUAGCAACCCCCUUUUUAUUUUAGAGAUACGGUGGAUAUCGCACUUAGCACCACCAAUGAACCGGGGAAUCAGCACUUAGCAACCCCUCGGGGGAAUCAGCACAUAGCAACCCCCUUUCACAUUUCAAAGAUACGGUGGAUAUCGCACAUAGCACCACCAAUGAAUCGGGGAAUCAGCACACAGCAACCCCUUUAUGUACAACAUACUUCGGCUUAUUCCGAGUGUUCAACCCAUAAAUCAUAAAUUGCAACCCUUUACCACCUUUCCCGAUUUAACAACAUUUUUAGGAUAUGGCCAAACAUUUAUUUUAAUUCCAAAUAAAUCUCAACAUAUAUCAAUUAAUGUCAAAAUAAUACAUCAAGUCACGUGUUUACUUACCUCGGUGCAAAAUAUCGUAAUUUUGCACUUCACUCCACUAUCUUUUCUUUUCCUCGUUUGAGAUAAUCUUCACGUCUUUCUUGAUUAUGAGCUUGAGAAAGCAAAGAAACCUUAGCUAUGGCUUCCUUCAAAUUUCGGCAGCAA